GAUGAACGCUGGCGGCGUGCCUAAUACAUGCAAGUCGAGCGAACAGACGAGGAGCUUGCUCCUCUGACGUUAGCGGCGGACGGGUGAGUAACACGUGGAUAACCUACCUAUAAGACUGGGAUAACUUCGGGAAACCGGAGCUAAUACCGGAUAAUAUAUUGAACCGCAUGGUUCAAUAGUUAAAGACGGUUUUGCUGUCACUUAUAGAUGGAUCCGCGCCGCAUUAGCUAGUUGGUAAGGUAACAGCUUACCAAGGCAACGAUGCGUAGCCGACCUGAGAGGGUGAUCGGCCACACUGGAACUGAGACACGGUCCAGACUCCUACGGGAGGCAGCAGUAGGGAAUCUUCCGCAAUGGGCGAAAGCCUGACGGAGCAACGCCGCGUGAGUGAUGAAGGUCUUCGGAUCGUAAAACUCUGUUAUUAGGGAAGAACAAAUGUGUAAGUAACUAUGCACGUCUUGACGGUACCUAAUCAGAAAGCCACGGCUAACUACGUG
rnacentral:rRNA from 1 species